rnacentral:rRNA from 1 species
GAUGAACGCUGGCGGCGUGCCUAAUACAUGCAAGUCGAGCGAACGGACGAGGAGCUUGCUCCUCUGACGUUAGCGGCGGACGGGUGAGUAACACGUGGAUAACCUACCUAUAAGACUGGGAUAACUUCGGGAAACCGGAGCUAAUACCGGAUAAUAUAUUGAACCGCAUGGUUCAAUAGUGAAAGACGGUUUUGCUGUCACUUAUAGAUGGAUCCGCGCCGCAUUAGCUAGUUGGUAAGGUAACGGCUUACCAAGGCAACGAUGCGUAGCCGACCUGAGAGGGUGAUCGGCCACACUGGAACUGAGACACGGUCCAGACUCCUACGGGAGGCAGCAGUAGGGAAUCUUCCGCAAUGGGCGAAAGCUUGACGGAGCAACGCCGCGUGAGUGAUGGAGGUCUUCGGAUCGUAAAACUCUGUUAUUAGGGAAGAACAAAUGUGUAAGUAACUAUGCACGUCUUGACGGUACCUAAUCAGAAAGCCACGGCUAACUACGUG